CCAUGUCACACUCUGUCCCUGGGACACAGUAGCCGGUGUCUGAGAGACCAGGAAUAGACUCAGAGGGAAGACCUGGAUUACCUCACCCUGUUCUAGACAUUAGCAAGAAGACCUCAGACCCCAGGGUGAGACAAGAGACAUGGGAAGUCCCCUCCAUGCUCCCAUCUUCCUGGUUUUAUGCAUCUUUAUCCAGUCAAGUGCCUGCGGACAAGGCUUGGGGACAGAGCCAUUUGGGAAAAGCUAUGGAGCUGCUGAAGUAAGGAAACCAUCACAGGAAAUGGGGACCAAAUUCCUGCUCUUCAAAGAUGAAAACGAUCGCCGAGGCUGUCAGCUCCGAGUCCAGAGCCCAGAAACACUGCGAGAGUGCGGCUUCAACACCUCCCAGCCGCUGGUCAUGAUCAUCCACGGGUGGUCGGGCUCAGAAAGUGCCACCGUGGGGGAAAAUUCAGACAGUGAUUCUCAGGUGGAUGGCUUGCUAGAAACGUGGAUCUGGAAGCUAGUAGGCGUGCUGAAGUCCCGACCCGUGAAUGUGGGGGUCGUGGAGUGGAUCUCCCUGGCUUACCAACACUACGCCAUCGCUGUCCGCAACACCCGUGUUGUAGGCCAAGAGGUGGCUGCUCUUCUCCUAUGGCUGGAGGAAUCUGUGAAGUUUCCUCCAAGUGAAGUUCACCUAAUCGGCUACAGCCUGGGAGCGCAUGUCUCAGGGUUCGCAGGCAGUUCUAUGGAUGGAAAGCACAAGAUUGGAAGAAUCACAGGACUGGACCCCGCAGGCCCUAUGUUUGAGGGCUCUUCUCCUAGCGACCGUCUUUCUCCAGAUGAUGCCAGUUUUGUGGAUGCCAUUCACACCUUCACCCGUGAGCACAUGGGUCUGAGUGUGGGCAUCAAACAGCCCGUUGCCCACUAUGACUUCUACCCCAAUGGGGGCACCUUCCAGCCCGGCUGCCACUUCCUGGAACUCUACAGACACAUCGCAGAGCACGGCUUAAACGCCAUAACCCAGACCAUCAAAUGUGCUCAUGAGCGCUCAGUGCACCUCUUCAUUGACUCCUUGCGACACAGCGGGCUGCAGAGCACAGGCUUCCAGUGCAGCGACAUGGACAGUUUCAGCCAGGGCCUGUGUCUAAGCUGCAAGAAGGGCCGUUGCAACACUCUGGGCUAUGACAUCCACAAGGAUCGGCCAGGCAAGAGCAAGAAGCUCUUUCUCAUCACCCGAGCUCAGGCCCCCUUCAGAGGACCAGGAGGACAACAGUGGGAAACGGCCCCGAGUCCUGAGGUCAGAGGACAACCUUGGGUGUCUGUACUCAGGGACUACCUUUUUGAGACAAGGUCUCUUACUGUCCUGGACCUUUACCAGCUGGCUAGCAAGCUCCAAGGAUCCCCUAUAUCUGCCUCCAAUCUCGCAACAGCUGGGAUUACAAUUUAUCAUUACCAGUUCAAGAUUCAAUUCAUCAAUCAAAUUGAGAAGCCAGUAGAGCCCACUUUUUCCAUGUCCCUGAUGGGAACAAAAGAAGAAGUGAAGAAAAUUCCCAUCACGCUGGGCGAAGGAAUUACCAGUAAUAAAACCUACUCCCUCCUCAUCACACUGGACAAAGACAUUGGCGAGCUGAUCAUCAUCAAGUUCAAGUGGGAAAACAGUGCAGUAUGGGCCAAUGUCUGGAACACGGUGCAGACCAUCAUGCCAUGGGGCAUGACAUCUCACUACUCGGGCCUCACUCUGAAGACCAUCUGGGUCAAAGCUGGAGAGACACAGCAAAGGUGACACUCACAUCUCCUCGUGCUGUGCCUACAGGUUCCAAGCAACUUCCCAGUUCAGCUUCCCAUCAGUCACAGGAAAAUGACUUUUUGCCCUGAAAAUAUAGAUGAUCUGCAGCUUCACCCCACCCAGGAGAAAGUCUUUGUAAAAUGCGAAGUGAACUCAAAAAGACUGAAGCAGAGGAGCAGAUGAGUCAAAGAGACACUCACAAAAAACAAAUAAACCUUAUCCUUUAUCCACA